rnacentral:ncRNA from 1 species
CACCUCUUGGUGAAGAACGAUGCCGAAGGGACGCGGUUUAGUACAUCCGAAAGGACGCUGGAAAGACCGCGAGGCAACAAGGAG